UACGGAGGAUGCAAGCGUUAUCCGGAAUGAUUGGGCGUAAAGCGUCCGCAGGUGGCAAUGUAAGUCUGCUGUUAAAGAGUCUAGCUCAACUAGAUACAAGCAGUGGAAACUACAUAGCUAGAGUACGUUCGGGGCAGAGGGAAUUCCUGGUGUAGCGGUGAAAUGCGUAGAGAUCGGGAAGAACAUCGGUGGCGAAAGCGCUCUACUGGACGGUGACUGACACUCAGGGACGAAAGCUAGGGGAGCGAAUGGG
rnacentral:rRNA from 1 species